UACAAGGUGAAAGAAAAGUGUUGUAGUCUGCCUCUUCGCGGCUAAGCUUUCAGCAACCAUGGGUAUCUCAUGAGACUCUAUGAACAAGAGGCGUGCCACUGUUGGCAAGAAGAAAGCGUGGAGGAAGAAGCGCAAGUAUGAACUUGGCCGCCAGCUGCUAAUACAAAGCUCUCAAGUAACAAGACAGUCAGACGAAUUCGUGUGCUUGGUGGCAAUGUAAAGUGGAGGGCGCUGAGAUUGGAUACAGGAAAUUACUCAUGGGUAGUGAGGCAGUCACAUGUAAGACUCGUAUCCUUAAUGUGGUCUAUAAU